ensembl:lncRNA LINC02507 long intergenic non-protein coding RNA 2507
AGAACGGAGCCUUAGGCAUCCAGCCGUUGGGGUGUGCCACUCAGAUCUCCUUUAAAGGAAGAAAUUGCCAUGAGGAAUGUAGUUAUCUGACAGCCUCCAGCUGCCUCAACUUUGAGGUCUUUCGCAGCAUUCACUCAAAGGCCACAUAGUCCUGGUCAAAGACUAAACAUGGCAAAGUUUCUAGAGCUGGUCCAUUCUUGCUCAUCAUAGGAUUCCUCUAAUGGGAAAUCUUUCCCCAAGGGUUCCGCAUUAGCCUAACCAAGACUUUCUCUGAGACUCUUAGUUAUUAUGAUGCUACUUCCACCAGCACCAGGGUUCUUGUUGCUAUCUGGCUGUUGAGUGAUUCAGUCCCACUGAGCAAUGUCAACCUGAUUGUCUUUCUUUGUUUUUAAGAAACAGGGUCUUGCUCUGCUGCCCAGGCUGGAGCACAGUAGUGUGAUCAUAGCUCACUACAGCCUUCAACUCCUGGGCCUUAGCAAUCCUCCUGCCUCAGCCUCCCAAGGAGCUAUGGCUGCAGGUAUCCGCCACCACUCAUUGACAGCCACUUCCAGUACUCACUGUCUUGGACACAGACUUGAGUAAAAGUACAGAAACAGGGCCGGUAGGACCAGAGGCUCCCCCUCCUGGGUCAGAUUAUGCAGUAAGGAGCUUCACAGAAUACGACUGGAAAUCCACAUACCCACUUUUCUGUUUAAUUCAGGAAGCAGUUGCUAAACACAACUAACAGAGCAAAGGGCAAGAGGCCUGGAUGAAGAAAUACCCUCAGAAACUCCCACUCUUCUGGUUCCUGCUGAAGACUCCAGUAAUAAAAGUUAUUCAUACCUACCUCCACCAUCUUGGCUGGGAAGUCAAGGAAGAAGAUAGCAGCCCGCAACCCGGAAGAGGGCCCUCACCAGAACCUACCAUGCUGGCACCCAGACCUCAGACUUCCAGCCUCCAGAAAUGAGCUCCCUCUGCUGCAGGAACUCAACGAUAGGGAGGAAGAGUCCAGAAAAGUAGGGCUGUCAGCACCUCUGUGAGCAGCCGACGAUCCACAGCGGAUGGAGUUUGGUGGUAAAGGUACUCACUUCCUGUCUCUCUGGUGAUGAUUUUGAGCAUGUUCUACAAAGUCUUUCAGAUGGUCCCAGUAGGUUGGAGCCCAGCUGCCCUCAGUGGUAACCUGCCCAUUAACGUAUCCUGUGUUGGUUUCCUUUCCUCCCCUACCUCACCUCCCCACUCCCCUUUCUAUGAUUCCUAGAGUCACCUCCCAAAUAAACUUUCACAUUUACA